CUGAGUCGCCGUCGCCCGUGACGUUCGGUGUAGUUGGGGAAACGCACCGUGGUUCCCCCUCGGGUCGGGAGAUCCCGAGCCCCAGGCGGGCGUGGGCGAAGCGUACAACCCCUUCACCUUUCGCCGCCCGGAGGCACAGGAAUCCAGUUCGCGCCAACUGACCCGUUCCUUCCUCCCGGGCACUCCGGAAGUCCUGAGAUUGCCCUGCUCCGUUCGUAGGUCUGAGCAGCUGCUGCUCCUUCACCAAAGGUGCUCAGAUUCUCCAGGAAACUCCCUUACGGGUUAGCAACCUACAAGAAUGGUAACUGCUUCCCACUGCUGCUUUUCUCUGGGUGCCUGAACAUUCCUGUUUACCCCUCAGCCCAGCCUACCUGUCUGCUACAAGUGGAAAAAGCUGAAUGAAAAAUGGAAGAGUGACUACUGAAAUAUUUACAGAUGGAAGGAUAUGAUGUCUAGAAUUCAUUUCAAACAGUGAGUAUGUGAGGGGGGCAAGUAGCUGGUGAUGUAGAUGGGAUAGGACUGGUAACAGGUU